ACGGACGUGGGCGACUACCAGAUCAAGCUGCGCAACAUGCUUCGCUUCCUCGAGGAAGGCGACAAGGUCAAGGUCACCAUCCGCUUCCGCGGCCGUGAAAUGUCCCACCAGGACCUGGGCCAGAACCUGGCCAAGAAGAUCCAGGAAGACGUGGGCGAGAACGGCGUGGUGGAGUCUUUCCCCCGCCUGGAAGGCCGCCAGAUGGUCAUGAUGAUCGGCCCGAAGAAGAAGUAAGUUUCGGGAAGAUAUGGGAAAAGCGGCUCUUGUGGGCCGCUUUUUCGUUGGUGGGGUGUUUGCGGUUUGGGCGCU
rnacentral:misc_RNA from 1 species